UUGGGAAGGCCGCUAGGGAAAUACCGGCAUCCCUAACGCCAAAACGACCGGUGGGUCCGCGUGCUAGGAACUCGAGCGCAGCAGAGGCAGGUGGGGGGCAGGGGGAGAGUCUGCUGGACUGUAAAAUAGCUUUAUCUUUUCAAAACCGGAAGUUCCGAGUGGACACGUGGGACGAGGGUUCGGUUAAAUAACUCAGGAUAGUGCCUAGCACCGUUUCAGUGUGUUCCUGGAAAAGAAAGGAAUCUUUAAGAUGCCUCAGACCGAUGAGUGGAGUGUGAUAAGCACUGAGCUGGAGGCUUCCUAAAACAGUGUGUGCAUCCGUGUUGAAUCCUAGAGGAAACACUGAUUUCGACUGGACAAUUUUAAUUUGGUUGAUAGGACUUCUGAAAAACUCUGGUGAACUUUGCUUUAAGCUGAUGUUAGCAUUUCACCGAGAGGAUCGAUCAGGACGUUCUGGAUUAGAGGAGUUGAUUUCUCAUAACCUUGGGUGAAAACACCUAUUUACAGUAGAAUUCCUUGAACAGAGGACAGGAAGGGCAGAAUGGGUCGCCACCGCGCAUAGCCGGUUUAAGAAGCCGGUCCCUGAAGCUGGGUGCCUGCUGGGGUCCAACUCUACCACUCUUGGGCGUGGGGUACACGGAUUUUCACAGACUUCCCUCGUUGGUGUUAUAGCAACAGUCUAGAGAUUGGGAAAACAAGGCAUAAGGGUUCCCAAGUUCAGUUCCUCACACCCGCACCAGGUGGCUCAACCUCCUGUAAGCCCAGUUCCAGGGGAUCCGACACCCUCUUCUGCCUUCUGAGGGCAUGUGCAUGUCUGUGUACUUGGAAGAAGCACACACACUUAAAUAAACACAGAAGACCUGGAAAACUGAGGCCCAAGUAGGAUGGAAUUGAGAGAAAACAAACAAACAAAAAAAAAAAAAACAAAAGGAAGAGAUGAUGCUAAUUUUCAUUGUUUGGCGACUUCUGAUUCACUGGUGGAUGGGAAAUAAAAAAAAUUAGCAACAUUCGCUUCGCAAAUCCUGCUAAACUGAGUAAAAAGUUUCUCCUCUGUAAACUCAAAAGGACAAGGAAGUCGGUAGAAGAGACGGUAGCAGAACUAAAAGAACUGGAAGACGGCUAAAAAGGGGUUAAAAGCCAGGAAUCGAAGCAUUGCAUUAAUUCCAAGAACUUGUCAUGGUUUAGGGAUUAGUAACAGAGAGUGGUUUUCGUGUGAAAUGUCCGCCGUAGAUAGUUAUGUUUGAACACUUGGUCCCCAGCUGCUCCUGCUGCUUGGACUGUCACACCAGUCUGGUCCUGGUGGAUGGAAAGAACGGGAAUUGAGAAAGACCUGAAGAUACUGACGGAGCCCAGUGCAGACCCCUGAGCUCCUGCCAUGUGCUCAGAGAGCUCAGUCAAUCUUAUGACCUCUCCUAAGUGGAUCAGACACCAUGACACCAUCAGUAGUAUGAGGAACAUGUAUAAAAUCCAUAAUAGAGACCGAAGAAGGACGUGAGACGGUAGACAGACUCAGAGAAGAUGAGUUUGUAUUGAACAGAUGGAGACGAAAACUUAAGGGAAAAUGUUCCCGCCACUCUCCGGGAACAAAAGACAAUUCUGCCUGAAUAGAAAGAAUGAUUUGCUGUGUAAAGCAGCAAUGGUAGAGCACAAAGGACGGCCUAGAAACCAAGGGUAAAACACAGAAGCUAAAAACGAAUAUAAAAAAAAGAUGGAAACACUUCCCCAAGUGUUUCCUAAAGACCAGUGAAAAGCCAGGUGUGGCACUGCCCGUCUAAACCCCAGCUCUCAGCGUCAGGUAUUCAAAGCCAGCUCGGACAACAAAGGAUUCUCGGCCAGGCUGGGUUACACAAGACCCUGUCUGUGAUAAAACACGGACCAAAGCCAACUUAGAGAGAAAUGUCUUUGCUUUAUCUUAAAAUUCUCGAGGUCACAUUCCAUUACUGAGGGAAGCCGCGGCAGCAGCUAGAACAGGGCAAAAACCUGGUGGCAGGAGCUGAUGCAGAGGCUAUGGAGGGUGCUGCUUACUGGUUUGUUCCCUAUGGCUUGCUCAGCUUGGUUUAUUGUAGAACCCAGGAUCACCUGCUCAGAAUGGUACCACUCAUGGUGAGCUGGGCCUUCCCACAUCAAUCGCCAGGCAGGAAAACACACUACCAUUAAAAAAAAAAAAAAGCAAAGACAAAACAACAACAAAAGGCCAGGUGAAAGAACUGUUUUUAAUUAGACAGCCUGCUAGUGGUCACAUGAAAUGAGGACUAGUUAAGAAAUUACUCAGUUAAUAACUUGCUAAUUUCUAAGCAUGAGUUACCAGGUUGAGAGCACCCAUUCCAUAUCAGAACAAUGAAUGAACAUAAGCUUACUCCAUCAGACACUUGUAAAAUUUCAGAACGCUACAUUUGAAGAUAGAUUGUGAAUACUUCGA